rnacentral:rRNA from 1 species
GGUAGUUUGACUGGGGCGGUCUCCUCCUAAAGAGUAACGGAGGAGCACGAAGGUUGGCUAAUCCUGGUCGGACAUCAGGAGGUUAGUGCAAUGGCAUAAGCCAGCUUGACUGCGAGCGUGACGGCGCGAGCAGGUGCGAAAGCAGGUCAUAGUGAUCCGGUGGUUCUGAAUGGAAGGGCCAUCGCUCAACGGAUAAAAGGUACUCCGGGGAUAACAGGCUGAUACCGCCCAAGAGUUCAUAUCGACGGCGGUGUUUGGCACCUCGAUGUCGGCUCAUCACAUCCUGGGGCUGAAGUAGGUCCCAAGGGUAUGGCUGUUCGCCAUUUAAAGUGGUACGCGAGCUGGGUUUAGAACGUCGUGAGACAGUUCGGUCCCUAUCUGCCGUGGGCGCUGGAGAACUGAGGGGGGCUGCUCCUAGUACGAGAGGACCGGAGUGGACGCAUCACUGGUGUUCGGGUUGUCAUGCCAAUGGCACUGCCCGGUAGCUAAAUGCGGAAGAGAUAAGUGCUGAAAGCAUCUAAGCACGAAACUUGCCCCGAGAUGAGUUCUCCCUGACCCUUUAAGGGUCCUGAAGGAACGUUGAAGACGACGACGUUGAUAGGCCGGGUGUGUAAGCGCAGCGAUGCGUUGAGCUAACCGGUACUAAUGAACCGUGAGGCUUAACCUUACAACGCCGAAGGUGUUU